AGCAAUACGGGAGUGGCGCACGGGUGAGUAACACGUGGGAAUAUGCCCAGCAGUGGGGGAUAACCGAGGGAAACUUCGGUUAAUACCGCAUACGCCCCUAGGGGGAAAGAUUUAUCGCUGUUGGAUUAGCCCGCGUCCGAUUAGCUAGUUGGUGUGGUAACGGCGCACCAAGGCGACGAUCGGUAGCUGGUCUGAGAGGAUGAUCAGCCACACUGGGACUGAGACACGGCCCAGACUCCUACGGGAGGCAGCAGUGGGGAAUAUUGGACAAUGGGGGCAACCCUGAUCCAGCCAUGCCGCGUGAGUGAAGAAGGCCCUAGGGUUGUAAAGCUCUUUCGGCGGGGACGAUGAUGACGGUACCCGCAGAAGAAGCCCCGGCUAACUCCGUGCCAGCAGCCGCGGUAAUACGGAGGGGGCUAGCGUUGUUCGGAAUUACUGGGCGUAAAGCGCGCGCAGGCGGCUAUUCUAG
rnacentral:rRNA from 1 species